rnacentral:tRNA from 1 species
GAGGGUACAGCUCAGUGGUACAGCACAUGCUUAGCAUGCAUGAGGUCCUGGGCUCAAUCCUCAGUGACUCCA